ACUCUUCAACCCCCAAUUUUUCUUAAGUGAGAUUUUGGUGCGGCUUGGUUUCUGAACGCCUGCUGGACUUGUUAAAAGUCGAGCUCGUUCGUAAUGCAUUAGCAUCCUAAUCUUCGAGAUCAGAUUGACUCGGCGUAAUAGACUAUUCGCUGAGGACAUGGCACCCCGUCAAAAAGAGUGUUGUGGCUGGACUUGGAAAGUUGGAAGCUUACAAACCCCGACAAUUUAGUCAAAUCAUCUAAG
rnacentral:misc_RNA from 1 species